rnacentral:rRNA from 1 species
CCUACGGGCGGCAGCAGUGAGGAAUAUUGGUCAAUGGGCGGAAGCCUGAACCAGCCAAGUCGCGUGAGGGAAUAAGGCCCUACGGGUCGUAAACCUCUUUUGCCGGGGAGCAAGGGCCGGGACGAGUCCCGGUCCGGAGAGUACCCGGAGAAAAAGCAUCGGCUAACUCCGUGCCAGCAGCCGCGGUAAUAAGGAGUAUGCGAGCGUUAUCCGGAUUUAUUGGGUUUAAGGGGUGCGUAGGCGGGCUUUUAAGUCAGCGGUAAAAAUUCGGGGCUCAACCCCGUCCGGCCGUUGAAAAUGGGGGCCUUGAGUGGGCGAGAAGAAGGCGGAAUGCGUGGUGUAGCGGUGAAAUGCAUAGAUAUCACGCAGAACCCCGAUUGCGAAGGCAGCCUUCCGGCGCCCUACUGACGCUGAGGCACGAAAGUGCGGGGAUCGAACAGGAUUAGAUACCCGAGUAGUC